rnacentral:tmRNA from 1 species
GUUCUAUCUGAUCAAUAGAACAUUUACAAAGAAAUAAUAGCAUGUAUGAGGUAAUUUGCGUCGACGAGGGUUCGACCCCCUCAUGGUCCACGUCUACAUAGACAUUCUCAUAAAAUAUAAGUGAAAUCUUGCCAAUGUGGUUCGUGAGAAUAGCAUUGGUUUUUAACAAGGGCCAUACUGGAUUUGAGGCGUAAAGGAAGUAAAUACGUUAAGUGCUACUAUAUAAAUUUAACUGGCAACUAUAAUGUUGUAGACUACACACAUGUAGCAUGAGUGUAAUCUGAGUGUUUCCUACUAAAGUGGAGGAAGAUGUAAUACGAUAGGCGUACAUUGUGGUUCGAGUCCACUACAUCUACGAAAUUUA